rnacentral:rRNA from 1 species
UACGGAAGGGGCAAGCGUUGUUCGGAAUCAUUGGGCGUAAAGGGCGCGUAGGUGGUUCUGUAUGUCUACCGUGAAAGCAUACAGCUCAACUGUAUUUUGUCGGUAGAAACUGCAGGACUUGAGGCUGGGAGGGGCUGGUGGAAUUCCCUGUGUAGCGGUGAAAUGCGUAGAGAUGGGGGAGAACACUCGUGGCGAAGGCGGCCAGCUAGACCAGUUCUGACACUGAGGCGCGAAAGCGUGGGGAGCAAACAGG